AAAGUACUCCCUCCGUCCCAAAAUUAUUGUCUUAGAUUUGUCUAGAUACAGAUGUAUCAAGUCACAUUUUAGUAUUAGAUACAUCUGUAUCUAGACAAAUCUAAGACAAGAAAUUUGGGACAGAGGGAGUAGUUG
rnacentral:pre_miRNA from 1 species